AGCACGCAAGACUGUUUUACUUGCUUCCGUGGAAAUUUCAACUGGAUUUGAUUUCCUCCCCUAUUAUUUUGAGGAUUGCUAAUCACACUAACCAAUCAUCGUAUUGUUGUGGCUAGAGAGAAAGAGACAUAUAUCAGAUUGUAUUUAACAGAGAAAUGUCAACUUUGGCACCGACGUUUUAGGAGUAAUAAUAGUUGAGUGAGAGCGCGCACAACAACAAGGUUGUCUUUGGGAUACCAGUCUCUUGAAGUACCUCCAGGGUUGCGAAUGCGCAUGCGACUCCUUGAUUGGGUCGCAUACCGUAUAGAGUAAUGCGUUUCGUCGAGGGAGAAUGUAAUGUUGAAUAUACAUUUGUGGACAUACUCUGUCAAGCCACAUAGUUUGCUUUCUGAUUUUGAAUAUGAAAAUGUCAGUAAUUCACGAUUUAUGUAGGAAAUUUAUGAUGUAUAAUAAGUCUACUAUCACGUUGUC